rnacentral:lncRNA from 1 species
AAAAAUUAAAGAGAAACGAUGUCAUGAUAAUGAGAUCAAUGAACAAACAAAUCUCUGUUUAAUGGCCGACAUUCAAUCUUAGAAUUAAGGGGGACCAAGGAAAAAAGAAUCAAUCGUAUCUAAACGCACAAGGUCUUGUCCAAUCUUUGAAUCUAGACGAAGUCGCUAUCUCUUGUCAUGAUUAUCUAAUUUCGUCUCCAUGUACAUAACUAUGGCCUCUCUUUUGGUCAACCAAUCGCAUGAAUACGAAAGGGACGUGCAUAAAGAAACAGGGGCAGUGAAUUAUUGCAUGAUGUUUAUCACCUCGAGUUGAAGGUCGCAUGAAGUUUCUUCCACCUGUUAUCUUAUCAUUUUCACUGUCUCGAUUCACAUAAAUCUGGCCCUUUGUUUUAUCAACAGUCAGCUUGACGGAGACCUGUGCCAUCUAAAUUCAACUCACAACUCUAGGACAUGUAUUUUUUUUUUUUUUUAAGUAGGAAAAUUAAAUUAAACUCGUAUGAAUCCACUGAUAUUAUUGCACCCAAAUGUGCGAACCAAAGCUCAACAUGAUUCAGUCGAUAAGAACCAAGACGUUUAAGAACCUUGUGAUAAAAAGAAAGAACUUACAGGGAAAGAAGCAAACCAGAGAAUCCGAUGAAAGGAAGUUCUCCAAAGGCAAAGGGGACAACGAAGGUAAGGAUUAUUUGCUUUGAGGGCUUGAAAUGUGGGCACAUCAAAUCCGAUUGUCCCUUGCUCAUCAAAUUGAAGAAAAAAUUAAAGAGAAACGAUGUCCUGAUAAUGAGAUCAAUGAACAAACAAAUCUCUGUUUAAUGGCCGACAUUCAAUCUUAGAAUUAAGGGGGACCAAGGAAAAAAGAAUCAAUCGUAUCUAAACGCACAAGGUCUUGUCCAAUCUUUGAAUCUAGACGAAGUCGCUAUCUCUUGUCAUGAUUAUCUAAUUUCGUCUCCAUGUACAUAACUAUGGCAUCUCUUUUGGUCAACCAAUCGCAUGAAUACGAAAGGGACGUGCAUAAAGAAACAGGGGCAAUGAAUUAUUGCAUGAUGUUUAUCACCUCGAGUUGAAGGUCGCAUGAAGUUUCUUCCACCUGUUAUCUUAUCAUUUUCACUGUCUCGAUUCACAUAAAUCUAGCCCUUUGUUUUAUCAACAGUCAGCUUGACGGAGACCUGUGCCAUCUAAAUUCAACUCACAACUCUAGGACAUGUAUUUUUUUUUUUUUAAGUAGGAAAAUUAAAUUAAACUCGUAUGAAUCCACUGAUAUUAUUGUACCCAAAUGCGCGAACCAAAGCUCAACAUGAUUCAGUCGAUAAGAACCAAGACGUUUAAGAACCUUGUGAUAAAAAGAAAGAACU